AGAAUACUACCCUGAACAUAUCUGAUUUCAUUUGAUAUUGGAAGCUAAGCAAGGUUGGGCCUGGUUAGUACUUGGAUAAGAGACUACUUGAGAAUACUGGGUACU
rnacentral:rRNA from 1 species